UAACGGCGAGUGAAGCGGCAACAGCUCAAAUUUGAAAUCUGGCGUUUCCGACGUCCGAGUUGUAAUUUGCAGAGGAUGCUUUUGGCGACGUGCCUUCCGAGUUCCCUGGGACGGGACGCCAUAGAGGGUGAGAGCCCCGUACGGUCUGGCGCCGAGCCGCUGUAAAGCUCCUUCGACGAGUCGAGUAGUUUGGGAAUGCUGCUCUAAAUGGGAGGUAAACUCCUUCUAAAGCUAAAUAUUGGCCAGAGACCGAUAGCGCACAAGUAGAGUGAUCGAAAGAUGAAAAGCACUUUGAAAAGAGAGUUAAACAGCACGUGAAAUUGUUGAAAGGGAAGCGCUUAUGACCAGACUUGGGCUUGGUGGUUCAGCCGUCCUUCUGGGCGGUGCACUCCGCCGGUUCAGGCCAGCAUCAGUUGCCGGUUGGGGAGAAAGGUGGUGGGAACGUGGCUCUUCGGAGUGUUAUAGCCCACCACUAUGCCCUCCUGGCGACUGAGGUUAGCGUUCUUCACGGAUGCUGGCGUAAUGGUUAUCAGCGACCCGUCUUGAAACACGGACCAAGGAGUCGUCCUGUCAUGCGAGUGUUCGGGUGCCAAACCCCUACGCGUAAUGAAAGUGAACGGAGGUGAGAGCUUCGGCGCAUCAUCGACCGAUCCUGAUGUCCUCGGAUGGAUUUGAGUAAGAGCAUGGCGGGCCGGACCCGAAAGAAGGUGAACUAUGCUUGGAUAGGGCAAAGCCAGAGGAAACUCUGGUGGAGGCUCGCAGCGGUUCUGACGUGCAAAUCGAUCGUCAAAUCUGAGCAUGGGGGCGAAAGACUAAUCGAACCUUCUAGUAGCUGGUUUCCACCGAAGUUUCCCUCAGGAUAGCAGUGCUGAUUCUCAGUUUUAUGAGGUAAAGCGAAUGAUUAGGGACUCGGGGGCGCUUAUUUGCCUUCAUCCAUUCUCAAACUUUAAAUAUGUAAGA
rnacentral:rRNA from 1 species